CGAACGGCAGCACGGGUAGCAAUCCUGGUGGCGAGUGGCGAACGGGUGAGUAAUGUAUCGGAACGUACCUUUCAGUGGAGGAUAACGUAGCGAAAGUUACGCUAAUACCGCAUAUUCUGUGAGCAGGAAAGCAGGGGAUCGCAAGACCUUGCGCUGAUUGAGCGGCCGAUAUCAGAUUAGCUAGUUGGUGAGGUAAAGGCUCACCACGGGCGACGAUCUGUAGCGGGUCUGAGAGGAUGAUCCGCCACACUGGAACUGAGACACGGUCCAGACUCCUACGGGAGGCAGCAGUGGGGAAUUUUGGACAAUGGGGGCAACCCUGAUCCAGCCAUGCCGCGUGAGUGAAGGAGGCCUUCGGGUUGUAAAGCUCUUUCGGCCGGGAAGAAAUCGCAUGGGUUAAUACCCUGUGCGGAUGACGGUACCGGCAUAAGAAGCACCGGCUAACUACGUGCCAGCAGCCGCGGUAAUACGUAGGGUGCGAGCGUUAAUCGGAAUUACUGGGCGUAAAGCGUGCGCAGGCGGUUUUGUAAGACAGGCGUGAAAUCCCCGGGCUCAACCUGGGAACU
rnacentral:rRNA from 1 species